UUUCCACUGUUUUCCUUAUCUUGGCUCCAAAUUCCACCAUCUCCCCAACCCUCGUCGUCUCCAUCGUUUCUCCCUUCUUCUUCACCACCAAUCCAGACUGCUUCACACACUCCGCCUACUGCCGGUCGUGGCGUCUUAGAAUUGCAGUCUUUCUCCGUUUCAAACACUUUGAAGCACAAUUCUAUUCGUGGAGGAAGCGGAGGAGAACGGAUGAUCGAUUUAAUUUUUAGCUUCAUCUUUGGAUUAGUAGUAAAAUUGAGAAAAAUACUUCUCGGAUUAAAGAAAAACACCCCAAAUCGACAUGGAGGGUUUGAUUUUCUCGCUUCGUCCCCUGAUUGUUGGUAAAAUUAUGUCGCUUUUUUUGCUCUUUGUUCGCGUUUUUCUUUUAUGUUGGAACAAUCGAAGCUCCUCCGGACCACAUGUAAUCUGUGAUCAUAAUCAUUACUCUAAACCUACAACUAAAGUCUUAUUGGAUUCAAGGUUCUCUUCCCGAUUCUUCUCUUAUAAGCUACAUGUAUAUUUUUCAAUGGUGGUGUUGUUCUCUUCCCGACUGCUCGCUUUAUUCCUCUGUUGGUGGUGUUGUUCUAGUACUGAUGGUGCCCAACAUAGUCCUAAAUUCGAUUUGUUAGAGAAGUUUUUUAUUGAUUUUAUGGGAGAAGAUGGGUCAUUUUCCAUGGUGGAUAACAAAGAAGGAGCUUGAUGAACUGUUUAGACAAUUUUGACCAAUAAAGAAAGUUAUAUCAAUAAAUUAUAGAAGGUGAGUCACAUUCUUAGUUAAAAUUGUAGAUUCAUUGAUAACUUUCAUAUGAUUGCUGAUUUUUAUUGACGUUGCACAUUUUAACCCACUUUUGAAUGAUAACUUUUGGGUACUCUAUCUGUUACAAAAAAUGGAAUUGAAGGUGUGUGCUCCACCAGAGAGUGGGAUUCUUAUAGACCGAUGCUGAAUCUUUAAUGGUUAGAAUUUUACCAUUGCUAGCCUCCGAUAAAGAUGAAUCAGGUAUAAAGAAGUUCAUAUCAGUUGUAAGUAAGCCUUCAACUUCAAAACUUGAAAUAAUUUAUUGGAUGUAUAGGAGAUUAGGCUCUGUUUGUGUGUGGUUAAGUGAUAAAUGUCCAAACUUCAAGCAUGAGAGGGCAUUACUGUAACUUUUGAAGCCAUUAGUUGAAUUCAGAAUAUUUGUUGCAGUUAAGGAGUUGAAAUCCACUGAGAUAUGGGAGAGGUUUAAGCAAGAUUGCCUAGAGAAAGAUAACCGACUUUUAUAUCCAAGUGAAGCUUUGGUUUUGGCUUCUUGGCUGGAGGAAGAAAAGGAAUCAGGAAAAGGAAAAACAGAAUGAUUGUUCGCAGGUUCUUUCUGACAUGAUAUUUACUCAACCGGAGGUGGUUUCAUGUAGUGUAAGUAUACAUCUAUAGUUGUUGACAAAUAAAAAACUCCUGAAACAUUCGUAGUAUAUAUUACUUAAACUACUAAAAUGAGUGUUUUUUGUAGAUGAUUUCAUUUCUUCAGAAUCCGAUUUUUUGUCAGGUAGAUAAUGUGUAUUUUUUAUUAUUAUUUAUAUAUGAACGAUUAAUUGGUGAGUUUAGGCAACAAGAUCAGCUUAACGGAGCAAAAGUGCAUGAGACAAGCCUUCCCAACGUACUAAAGUCAGUAAAUACAAACAAUUACUAAUUUCCUUUUUUGGUUAAUAACAAAUUUUACAAUAACUUUAUAAUUACUCCCUGAAUAACUAAAAAUAGCUAAAAUAGAAAUAGGUCGAAAGUGUAUUCAAACGCUUGAUCAUUUUAUUAUUUGGAUCUUCAUUUUUGAUUUUGUGAACAUAUUAAAUUCAUUAGUAAUUUUUAAUGUUAACAAAUGAAGAGAAAAUGCUAUAUUUCUUUGUAUUUUGGAUGCAAGGGUAUUUUAGUCAAAUGUAUGAUUGGGUGACAUUCAAUUUGUAUAUUGGUAAAAAAAUUUGUAAAUUUGUCAAGUGGAUCAUAAAUGGUAUGGGCAGUAAUUGGAUCUUUAAUUCUUUAUUAUUAGGAGGUGAUUAGGUGAUCUUUCGAGUAAAGGGCGUUUUGGUCAAAACUGAAAAAUACCAGACAUAAUAGAUAGAUAAUAUAUUGUAUAUAGACAACAUACGCAUUACAGCCUUAAUCUGAAUGAACAUGGUGUAACCCAUAAAAAUGUAGGCAAUGUACUUUUUGAAGUAAUUAGAGGAAUGGAAUGUUGAAUAUGAAAGGAGAAUACAAACAUGGGAUUAGGCCAUUUUAUAUAUUUAUGUGAGUUUCUGUUAACUUUUCUUAUGUGAUUCUUUACUUAUUUUACCAUGUGAUUGAAUUUGCAUGAGCAGAUUUGCGCUUGGAAUGGAAAGGAAAUUAUCUUCAAGCAAACUAAAUAUUUGUUUCCAUAUAAUAGGAAAUUGAUGGAAUGAAAAAGAUUUUCAUUAUUCUUGCAUUUUCCCCAAAAUUGAAUCGAAAGGUAUUCAUGAGUUUGUUAAUUAUAUUCCUAAUGCAACUAUAUAUUUUAUAUUAAUUUUAAUUGUGGAGUGAAUAAACAAUUUGUAGUAUAUCAACAUAUUGUGCAUAUGUCAACUUUCAAGGUCAUAUUUCUUCUUCUUUUUUUAACUCUUCACAUUUUUUUCUUUUUAUUUAUUUUAUUUAUUUUUAAUUUUAUAUACUAUUUUAUAACAAUAUUAUAAAGAAUUGAUUGAACAUUGUAAUCUCAUGUUCGUAUAAUUUCAGAAAGAUAACUUCCAACUACAACAGGCACACCAGAAGAUUGGAUUAAACGGAUACAGUUGCUAUUUGAGCAAAAUCGGGAAAAAAAUUCGGCUAAGAUUCAGAUAUAUCCUUCUCAAAUAAUGCAUGUUCAAUGUAGAUACUACUAAAACAAAUUACUCUACCUCUACUACUUUUUUAUCGUAUAACAAUGGAGAUUAAACAGCUCCAAGGGCAAGAUGGUCAUCACAACAGCUCAAAAUCGAACCAUAUGAGUGUUUUUGCAGUUUACUAUUAAUUUAUUAACGAUUUCUUAAGCUUUUUUUUUUUUUUCAGUUUUGGGAUACGGACAACCAUUGAAACAUAUAGUCGAAGGGAAAUCAUGCAUCAGUACUCAGAUUACACACACACACACAUAUAUAUAUAUAUAUAUAUAUAUAUAUAUAUAUAUAUAUAUAUAUAUAUAUAUAUAUAUAUAUAUAUAUAUAUAUAUAUUGGCUCUGAAAUUACAUUAAUGCAAAUAAAAAUAGCAACAGACUUAUAUAUAUUUGUGUUCUAUGUCUCCCUACUUUCAUUACUUUCUAUUACGACAUUGUAUUGUUUUAUUGUAGGGGCAAUUUGGUAUAAUGGGAUGCAUCAAGAAAUAGAUGUAGUUUAUGCUACAUUUGUGAGAUAGCAAUGUACUUUUGUCGUCAAAAAAUGGUCUAUAAAGCUGAAUAAGUUUCAUAAAAAUGAUUGUGAAA